rnacentral:lncRNA from 1 species
AUGGGGACAUUGAUGACUUUUCAGUGCAGUGACAUUCCAUUUCUGAGCCAGACAAACCCUAUGAGGGCCUGUGUCCUGCCACUGUCAUGGGUGUCACAAUGGCAUAGAGGUGGUGACAGGGGGCUGCUUGGACAUGGGACAAUUAAAAGAGUGUGUCUCAGUGACGUUCAACAUAGUCUCAUAGAGCUCUGCCUGUGUGCUCUCUGUUUGCAUUUUACUCUGCUGCUGUAUGUGUUCCAGUCAGUGUGUUGUGUACUGUACCUGUGUGAGCAGCUGUCUCAGGGCCUGUGUUGUGUACUGUACCUGUGUGAGCAGCUGUCUCAGGGCCUGUGUUGUGUACUGUACCUGUGUGAGCAGCUGUCUCAGGGCCUGUGUUGUGUACUGUACCUGUGUGAGCAGCUGUCUCAGGGCCUGUGUUGUGUACUGUACCUGUGUGAGCAGCUGUCUCAGGGCCUGUGUUGUGUACUGUACCUGUGUGAGCAGCUGUCUCAGGGCCUGUGUUGUGUACUGUACCUGUGUGAGCAGCUGUCUCAGGGCCUGUGUUGUGUACUGUACCUGUGUGAGCAGCUGUCUCAGGGCCUGUGUUGUGUACUGUACCUGUGUGAGCAGCUGUCUCAGGGCCUGUGUUGUGUACUGUACCUGUGUGAGCAGCUGUCUCAGGGCCUGUGUUGUGUACUGUACCUGUGUGAGCAGCUGUCUCAGGGCCUGUGUUGUGUACUGUACCUGUGUGAGCAGCUGUCUCAGGGCCUGUGUUGUGUACUGUACCUGUGUGAGCAGCUGUCUCAGGGCCUGUGUUGUGUACUGUACCUGUGUGAGCAGCUGUCUCAGGGCCUGUGUUGUGUACUGUACCUGUGUGAGCAGCUGUCUCAGGGCCUGUGUUGUGUUUUCUCCCAGCUCGUUCAGGCCUCUCUUCUCCACCGCCUCCAACACCUGACACAGGUCUGGCUCCCACACCACCACCCUACUGCCAUACCGCAACAGCUGCAUGGGAGGGACAUGUGUUGGUAUUCAAGGCUUCAUCGGGGUGCUUACAAACAGAAGGCAAAGACACAUUUGAAUACACUUCAAAAUGGCCCUGCACUGCUUCAAAGACCAACAGUAGUAUGA